rnacentral:snoRNA from 1 species
AACCCAUGGUGAGGGCACCUUUGCAAUAGAUCUUUGUAUCUCUCCCAUGCAUCGUAAAAUGAUUCUAAGUCCAUCUGUACAAAAGAAGAGAUAUCAUUAUGUAACU